GAGCCAUUAGCUCAGCUGGUAGAGCAUCUGACUUUUAAUCAGAGGGUCAGAGGGUCAGAGGUUCGAAUCCUCUAUGGCUCA
rnacentral:tRNA from 1 species